rnacentral:rRNA from 1 species
GCUGUCUAAGUAUAAGCGACUAUACUGUGAAACUGCGAAUGGCUCAUUAAAUCAGUUAUGGUUUAUUUGAUGGUACCUACUACCUGGAUAACCGUAGUAAUUCUAGAGCUAAUACAUGCAGGAAGACCCGACUUCGGAAGGGUUGUAUUUAUUAGAUAAGAAACCAAUCCAGCUCGCUGGUUGCGUGCCGAGUCACAAUAACUGCUCGAAUCGCAUGACUUUACGUUGGCGAUGGUUCAUUCAAAUUUCUGCCCUAUCAGCUUUCGAUGGUAGGAUCGAGGCCUACCAUGGCGUUUACGGGUAACGGGGAAUUAGGGUUCGAUUCCGGAGAGGGAGCCUGAGAAAUGGCUACCACAUCCAAGGAAGGCAGCAGGCGCGUAAAUUGCCCGAAUCCUGACACAGGGAGGUAGUGACAAGAAAUAACGAUACAGGGCUACAUCUAGUCUUGUAAUUGGAAUGAGUACAAUUUACAUCUCUUAACGAUGAUCAAUUGGAGGGCAAGUCUGGUGCCAGCAGCCGCGGUAAUUCCAGCUCCAAUAGCGUAUAUUAAAGUUGUUGCAGUUAGAACGCUCGUAGUCGGAUUUCGGGGCAGUCCGACCGGUCUGCCGAUGGGUAUGCACUGGCCGGAGUGUCCUUUUUGCCGGAGACCGUGCCUACUCUUAACUGAGCGGGGGCGGGAGACGGCACUUUUACUUUGAAAAAAUCAGAGUGUUUCAAGCAGGCAGCUCGCUCUUGCAUGGAUUAGCAUGGGAUAAUGAAAUAGGACUUUGGUGCUAUUUUGUUGGUUUCGAACACCGAAGUAAUGAUGAG